GGAAUAUUGCACAAUGGACGAAAGUCUGAUGCAGCAACGCCGCGUGCGCGAUGAAGGCCUUCGGGUCGUAAAGCGCUUUUCGGGUGGAUGAGGAAGGACAGUACACCCGGAAUAAGGUACGGCUAACUACGUGCCAGCAGCCGCGGUAAAACGUAGGUACCGAGCGUUAUCCGGAUUUACUGGGCGUAAAGCGUGUUUAGGCGGUCAGGCAAGUCGGGCAUGAAAUCUCUCGGCUCAACCGGGAGAGGUUGUCCGAUACUGCCAGACUUGAGGGCAGUAGAGGGUGGUGGAAUUCCGGGUGUAGUGGUGAAAUGCGUAGAUAUCCGGAGGAACACCAGUGGCGAAAGCGGCCACCUGGACUGUACCUGACGCUCAAACACGAAAGCUAGGGGAGCGAAC
rnacentral:rRNA from 1 species